rnacentral:rRNA from 1 species
AGGACUAACGCUGGCGGCGUGCCUAACGACAUGCAAGUCGAACGAGAGUAGCAAUACUCUAGUGGCAGACGGGUGAGUAACACGUGGUCAACCUACCUUUAAGUGGGGGAUAACUAGCCGAAAGGUUAGCUAAUACCGCAUACGAUCUUCGCGUGGCAUCACAUGAAGAUGAAAGGAGCAAUCCGCUGAAAGACGGGACCGCGUCCCAUUAGCCAGUUGGUGGGGUAACGGCCUACCAAAGCAACGAUGGGUAGCUGGCUUGAGAGAGCGACCAGCCACACUGGGACUGAGACACGGCCCAGACUCCUACGGGAGGCAGCAGUGAGGAAUUUUCCGCAAUGGGCGAAAGCCUGACGGAGCGACGCCGCGUGUGGGAUGAAGGCCUUCGGGUCGUAACCACUGUCGAAGGGAAGAUAUUGACGGUACCCUUGGAGGAAGCCCGGCUAACUACGCGCCAGCAGCCGC